UCUUAUGCACAGCUGCGGUGCGCCCCGCCGCCCGCCAGAGGCUCGGCUCGCGCGGCGCGGCCGCUGCGACUUCCUGGAGUUCUGCCUGCCGGGGGCGCGGGCGGGUGUGUGAGAGAGAAGGCGAAGGGAGCCGCGGGGUGGGAGAGGAGGGAGUCCCGGCGGGAGGGCGGGGGAGAGGCUGGCGGGAGGGGGGCUCCACGGAGCUCCAGCCAGGGCCGCGGUUCGCCUGCACGUCACGGCUACUCAAACCCAAGCACGUCCCGAAAGCGGUAUUUUCUGCGUCUGGGAGGUUUUUGCAUCCUCAGUUCCCACCGCUGGGGCUGGCGGCGACCAACUGUAAGAGAAACUCACUGGGAGGCGAGGCAGGGGGGUGCGGAGGAUGGGAAGGCGACUCUGAAGGGUGGGAAGUGAAUGCUGGACUUGAUCGUCUUUCUCUUUCUUUCAGCGCAGACCUGUCGCAGCCAGAGAGCUGUCAUUUCAGUACCGGGAUUCAGAAUUGAUCCAGUCCGCAGCGGAGGGGGCACAUCCCAGCUACCGAGCUGCUGAGUGUCUCUGGCUGGAACAAUAGUAUUUUUUUCUCUGCGAGGCUGCAAUUAACAUCUUAUUUGUUCUGGCUCCAUACAGGCUUUGUCAGGAUCGCGGUGCGGCGACCGACGUUGGGCUCUUGCAUUGCUUUGUGCUUGGCAAUGGAAUCAUGGUUUCGGGGUCUAAACUUUUGUUUCGUUUUGUAGUCUUAAUGUAUCUGAUUCUUUUUCAAGUUUCCCUAGUAACAGGUUUGGGGACGGGGUGGGAAGAAGCGAGAAAAGGGGUGAAGAGAAAAAACCAGAUUAUAUAGAAAGGAAAAAGGGAAAAGGGAUGUUUCCCCACCUUUUAAUCUAACUAUCUAUCUGUCUGUCUAUCUAUCAUCAUAGAUAGUCAUUUUGCCUCCUGGACAGUUGGCUGACGAAGUGUCUGAUAAACCAGCUUCAGAUACAUGCUACAAAAGGUCAUUCGCCUCCUGAUUAUGUUUCUACUUGUAAACGCAGUUGGUGGUUUGCAAAACAAGUGCUAAAAUAGUGCAGUGAUGUGGUGGGAGGAAACCAUAAUGGGUAAUUCAUAUAAAGUGCUGGAAUCUUCGUAAGGGUGAGUUUCUCGAGCGGCAGGUGAAGUUGAAUAAAGCAAUUUUCCAUCAUUUGUUCCCCUCACUCUUGCAUUUUUUUCCUCCGCUUGUUUCUCUCCCCUGGGGCGAUUAUGGAUAGCCAAGAACACCAUUUUAAAAGAGAUUGAUAGUGAAAACAGGAAGUUUAUGGUCUGUUAUCCACUGGAGUUGUUUGAAAUAUUAAAAUUGGUCCUUUACUUCUUAAUGCAUAUUAAUAGAGUGACCCUCUUCAAGGCUUUCCCGUCUUAAACGAAUGCCUGGGAUAAACACUGUAAGGGGAAACAGUUAAUAAUUCCCCAGCAGGCUUUAACUAUUUUCCCAGUAACAAAUCACCGGCAAGAGAGCAGCCUGGGUGGCAUUUUGGUUUUGUGUCAUUUUGGUUCUUUACAAUAUUUUUUAUUCAUUUAAGGAAAUGUUAAAAGGAAAUAAUUAGGGUUUAUGUCCAGAACAAAUUUUGAAACACCGUUUAAGCAACACAUUUUCUUUUAAAAACAAAGAACAUUGAGCAACACAAAGGAGAAAAACAUUUUAUUUAUUUCAACUUCCCUAGAGAUCGUAAUUAUGAUUUUCGCAAGGCAAUUUGGUCAGUUCUGUUACUUUAUCCAGAGGAAAAAAAAGCAUGACAGAUGUGGAAUAAAAACGGAGGAAAAAAUGCUUUGGAUGGUUUAUACAUAAAAAGGAAAGAAUGUAAUGUGAGGUUCAGUUAUACCUCUAUUUUGCAUCUAGUGAUUUCUCAUAUUAUCUUGUAACACUGAUUUUGAUGUUUCUUAGAAAUUCUUAAAGUCAUGACACAGUGGCAUAAGAAUAACAGCUGAAAGGGACAAUUUAAAAGCCUAAAUCCUAAAUGGAAAGGUUCACUUACUCCCAGGAUCAUUUAUAUUCAAGUAGAAGUCAGGGCAGGGUCAGAAAAGAAAGCCACCCUUAAUAAAGCGCUUCACCCUUCACAUUGUUUCUCAUAACCUUCAUAAAUUGCAGGCUACUGAGCUGGCCUGAUGAUGAUCCUUCUGAGAUAUAUUUAUAGCAGAUGAUUUGUGGAUGAUAACUACGCCAAGCAAGACACUGUCUCCAGUAACCCCAGGCUCGUCUGACUUCCUCAGGGGAUUAUAAUAAAGAAUCACAAAAAGAACCCUAUAUGGACAGUCUGGUCUCUGGACACUAACAACAGCACAAUCCAAAGGCAAAGAAAGGAGGAACCACCUUGUUUCAUGUCUGCAAGCUGCUCCAUAUGAAAGCAUUGCUGACAUGUUGACCCAACAGCAAAAAGAGAGCAGCAGUUUACACACCCUCAGCUCUCUGUCCUUUCCUUUCUAUUGAUGUUGGUCCACUUUUAUGACUGAAUACAUAUUAAAAUCACCAUUUCAAAUUAUAA
rnacentral:lncRNA from 1 species